UGAAUACGAGACGCUAAGGCGUCGAAGUAGUGUAUGUCAUACUUCCAAGAAAAGCUUGCACUGUCAUAGAUAAAAAACGCCUGUACCAUAACCGACACAGGUGGGUAGGUAGAGUAUACUAAGGGGCGCGAGAUAACUCUCUCUAAGGAACUCGGCAAAAUAACUCCGUAACUUCGGGAGAAGGAGUGCCUUAUUCUUAAGGUUGCAAUAACAAGAUCCAAGCAACUGUUUAUCAAAAGCACAUGUCUCCGCUAAGUCGUAAGACGAUGUAUGGGGGCUGACGCCUGCCCAGUGCCAGAAGGUUAAAGAAGCUGGUUAGCAAUUGCGAAGCUGGUAACUGAAGCCCUGGUGAACGGCGGCCGUAACUAUAACGGUCCUAAGGUAGCGAAAUUCCUUGUCGGGUAAGUUCCGACCCGCACGAAAGGCGUAAUGAUUUGGAUACUGUCUCGGAGAGGGGCUCGGUGAAAUAGACUUGUCUGUGAAGAUGCGGACUACCUGCACCAGGACAGAAAGACCCUAUGAAGCUUUACUGUAACUUGAAAUUGAAAUUGGACUUUAUUCGCGCAGCAUAGGUGGGAGGCGUUGAUUAUAAUCUUGCGGGAUUAUUGGAGCCAUUAGUGAGAUACCACUCUUGUAAUGUUAGAUUUCUAACUUUGAAUCAUUAUCUGGUCAAAGGACAGUUUCAGGCGGGCAGUUUGACUGGGGCGGUCGCCUCCCAAACGGUAACGGAGGCGUACAAAGGUUUCCUCUGAACGGUUAGAAAUCGUAUCUAGAGUGUAAAGGCAUAAGGAAGCUUGACUGUGAGACCUACAAGUCGAGCAGGGACGAAAGUCGGUCUUAGUGAUCUGACGGUACUGAGUGGAAAGGCCGUCACUCAACGGAUAAAAGUUACUCUAGGAUAACAGGCUGAUCUCCCCCAAGAGUUCACAUCGACGGGGAGGUUUGGCACCUCGAUGUCGGCUCAUCGCAUCCUGGGGCGGUAGUACGUCCCAAGGGUUGGGCUGUUCGCCCAUGAAAGCGGUACGCGAGCUGGGUUCAGAACGUCGUGAGACAGUUCGGUCCAUAUCCGGUGUAGGCGUUAGAAUAUUGAGAGGAGCCUUCUUUAGUACGAGAGGACCGAGAAGGACAUACCUCUGGUGUACCAGUUAUCGUGCCAACGGUAAACGCUGGGUAGCUAUGUAUGGAGUGGAUAACCGCUGAAAGCAUCUAAGUGGGAAGCCCACCUCAAGAUAAG
rnacentral:rRNA from 1 species